UUAUUUCUCCCAGAUGAACAG
rnacentral:piRNA from 1 species